GCGGAUGUAGCCAAGUGGAUCAAGGCAGUGGAUUGUGAAUCCACCAUCAUCUGCA
rnacentral:tRNA from 1 species